GCUUGGCCGAGUGGUCUAGGGCGUUGGACUUAAGAUCCAUUGGACAUAUAUACGCUCAGGUUCAAACCCUGCAAUACG
rnacentral:tRNA from 16 species